rnacentral:lncRNA from 1 species
CGCGGGGCUGCACAGAGGCUCCCUACAGACGGAGCAGCCAAAACCAGAGGAGCAAACCCAAACACACCUCCCCGAGGGUUUAUAUUGGCAUCGCAUCCUCGACGCGGGUCCUACACCAGAGCACCCGCAGGACCCCCAGCGGGACCUCAGCCCCUGCCGCGCGUGCCAGCGGGGCGCCUCGCAUUGGCCGCCCGUGCAGAAAUCCCCGCCCCUCCCCCGGAAUAUGCUAAUCAACGCCCACCCCAUUGGCUGGCCCGGCGGCGGCGGCUCCGAACGACAUUUGCAUGGCGGCGGGCAGCUCCUUUGUUGUCAACGGCGGCGGGCGGCGCGCGUGCUCGCGAGGGCUGGGUGGGCGGGCGGGUGGGAGCGCGCCGCCGAGGCAGCCCCACCGCCGCCCCCGGCGACCGUUACCCGCUGAGGGACGGCGCGGCGUCCCCCGGCUCGGCGGCUGAGGGGGGACGCCGGGGAGCGCCGCUUCGCCGCCUCCUCCUCCUUCUCCUCCAGGCAGGAUGGUGGACCUGGACAGCGAGGUGCCCCCGCUGCCGCCGCGGUACCGCUUUCGGGACCUGCUGCUGGGCGAGCAGGGCUGGCAGAGCGACGACAGGACUCCUCUUAUGGUGGAGCUUCAUUCAGGUUUUUCUUUUUGGUGUCUUUCAUGGUCCAUUUCUUACCCAUACUUCCCCAAUAAGGUAACAUCCAUCUCGCUACUUUUGCAUUUCUCUCUCAGAAAAAAAGUAACUGCACUUGCAUAGCUUAGAUUCCUAACCAACUUUGCAGUUGGCCUCAGUAGCAGAUGGGUUCCGUGCUGUCGUAUUCCACAAACCAUCAAAUUGUGUUGUGUACUCUUUUCUAUAAAAGAAGUUUCUUUGUGAACAAUAACACAGCGAGUCUUAGGCAAAUACAUAAACUAUAUAAAACAAUUCAUUAACAUUCUUGAAUUUGCUGAGUAGUUUUUCCUGAAAAAAAAGUAUGUUAAGACCAGUUUUGUUUUUAAGGGCUAGAUUUUCAAAGGACCUAAUUCCCUUUGAAAACCAUGGAGGUAAAGGUGAUGCUUAGAGCACACAGGAAUCACAAAUUCCCUCCUUCUGAUUUAUAGCUUAAACUUUCACCAAGGUCUCCCAUUUAACCUGGUACAAUUAGAUAAUGUUAACUCAAUAAGGUUAAAUUGCUGGGCUAUUCUGAGGCAAUCUCUUCAUAUUAAGCUAUUCACGUUUUAUAUGAAAAAAAUUACUCAGAUCAUUGUGGUUUUUUUUUUUGUAAGUUGAGGCAUUCACGUUCCUGUCACUAUGAAAAAUAUUUAAAUAUUGCCUAGAUCAACAUGAAAUUCUUCUGCAGGAGAACAGGUAAAAGAUCAGCCCAGUAGCUAAAGUAUGGGUGUGCCAUGUGGGCUAUUGCUGCAGGAGGUAGGGUAGCAUAAGAGGUUUCUUCUAGCCAUGUAAAUAUUUCGGUCACUGAACUAAGAGUAAUGAAAAGACUGAAUAAUUGACUUUUUCACUAAUUUUGUAAAUACCACUAAUAUCCCUUUGUGAAGCUCGUAUUUUACUUUCACUGUUGAAAGUAUCUGAAACUAAACGGUUUGGUUUAUUGAAUACACUGAGAUGUUUUUUUUGACUGUCAUAAUGCAGAUUGUCUUUCAGUUUGGCUGCCUGGGAAGGGAGCAGGAGUAAAGGGGUAACUCAGUGGUUAGCACAACAGUUAUUUACCCACUAACUCAGUGAGGUUUCACUGCAGUGCAAUUAUAACAGUAAAUUACGUAAUAAAAUGUUUCAGUUUUCAUAAACCUACUGAUAG